UGUAUGUUAUAAGACAAAAUGUAUAUUGCAUCGUUUUUACGCAAAUCCAACGGCUGUGCGUUGUCCCCGUAUAAUCUGCGCCUUGCAAAAAUUCCCAAAUUAUACGCUCCGCAUUUCUCAACCGUCGACUCUCCGCCGCCGGCAUUCCAUUCAGUCCAAAAAAACCAAGAGCUGUUUGGGGGGCAUAAAACUACUGCUCUCCUCCGAUUCUUUAGUUCUUUGAGAAAAGAGGUUCCGUCAUCGAAAAUUUUAAUUCACCCUAGAAUUUCUUGCCAUCAUCUGCAUAUUGGUGGAUCUUUAGUUAUGGGUGCUGUAGAGAAUGCCAUAGACAAUAAAGUAGGUCGUUUACCAGAAGAAGCAAAGAGGAUUCUACAAUCAUUGGCUUCCAGCUGGGGGGAUGUAGUUGAGUCAGAUGCAUUGCAAGUGAUUCAACUGAAGGGUGCUAUGACAAAUGAGGUCUACCAAAUCAAGUGGCCGACAAAUGAAGAACAGUCACGAAAGGUAUUGGUUAGAAUUUAUGGUGAGGGUGUGGGGAUUUUCUUUGACCGGAACAUUGAAAUCCAGACAUUUGAGUUCAUGUCCAAGCAUGGGCAAGGACCUCGUCUUCUUGGAAGGUUUCAGAAUGGGCGACUCGAGGAGUUCAUUCAUGCACGGACCUUAUCAGCACCUGAUCUGUGUGAUCCAGAUACAUCUGGUCUUAUAGCAAUUAAAAUGAAGGAGUUUCAUGAUAUAGAUAUGCCUGGUCCAAAGAAUGCCUUCCUCUGGGUUAGACUGCGCAAUUGGCUUAAUGCGGCCAAAAGUAUGUCUACCCCGGAAGAAGCUGAGGCCUUUCACUUCGAUGCCCUAGAGGAGGAAAUAUCAAUAUUGGAAAAAAAAUUGUCAACGGAUGAUCAACGUAUUGGAUUUUGCCACAACGAUUUACAAUAUGGUAACAUAAUGUUCGAUGAAGAGACCAGAUUAAUCACUUUAAUUGAUUAUGAGUAUGCAAGUUACAACCCUGUUGCCUAUGAUAUAGCAAAUCACUUUUGUGAGAUGGCCGCCGAUUAUCACACAGAAACACCUCAUAAUUUGGACUUCAGUAAAUACCCUGGUUUGGAGGAGCGUAAAAGAUUUCUGCGUAUGUAUUUGAGUUCUUCAGGUUAUCAACCUAGUGAAAUGGAAAUGGAAAUGGAGCAGCUAGCUCAAGACGUUGAGAAGUAUACUCUUGCAAGCCAUCUGAUUUGGGGCUUAUGGGGAAUAAUAUCGGAACAUGUUAACGAAAUUGACUUUGACUACAUGGAGUAUGCAAGGCAGAGGCUUCAACAGUACUGGUUAAGGAAACCUGAGCUAUUGGAUUCUUUUAGAGCUACCCCUGAUGAUGUGGCUGAUGUAUGAUCAGAAUAAAAUAUUCUCAGACAGCAAGGUGCACUGAGGUCAAAUGGUUUUACCGUUUACAUGGAAAUAGCACUCCAGAAAUCAAGAUAACAGGCAGCAGGCAAUAAUGUGCAAACAGUGCUGAAGCUGACAGAUCUGCCGGAGAAGAAAUUUUAUGAAAUUUGCAUAUGCUCGGCAAAGACUGACAAGAUGGUACUCGGGAUCCUUGCUACUCUAUUUGUAUAUUAUUUAGAAAACGAAAAAUACAGUACCUGUGAUGUUGCAGCAGAGGGAUUAAUGGUAUAAAGUGAGAAUGUGCUAAUCACGGAUGCCACCAUUGUUAUCGUAAAUCGUUGUUAAUGAAACCAACUUGUCACUUUGAAUUAGUCCCUUAAUCGUUGUGAAUCAGUUGAAUCAGUGUUGUGACUCUUGUCUGAGUUUUACAUGGGAUUUUAGAAGAGUGGAGUUGUGCUUUUUGUAUCAUUGAGAUGAUUUCAUUUCUUUUCAGCCAGAUGUUUAUGGGAUUAUGUAUUUCACUGGUUUGCAGUUGAUGUC